GGAGGGGUGGCGGAGCCUGGUUGAACGCACCGGUCUUGAAAACCGGCAGGGGCCUUGCGGUCCCUCGUGGGUUCGAAUCCCACCCCCUCCGCCA
rnacentral:tRNA from 2 species